AUUGAACGCUGGCGGCAUGCUUUACACAUGCAAGUCGAACGGUAACAGGUUAAGCUGACGAGUGGCGAACGGGUGAGUAAUGCAUCGGAACGUGCCCGGUCGUGGUGGAUAAAGCAGCGAAAGCUGCGCUAAUACCGCAUACGAUCUAAGGAUGAAAGAGGGGGACCGUAAGGCCUAGCGCGCUCGGAGCGGCCGAUGUCAGAUUAGGGAGUUGGUGGAGUAAAGGCUCACCAAGCCAACGAUCUGUAGCUGGUCUGAGAGGACGACCAGCCACACUGGGACUGAGACACGGCCCAGACUCCUACGGGAGGCAGCAGUGGGGAAUUUUGGACAAUGGGCGAAAGCCUGAUCCAGCAAUGCCGCGUGCAGGAAGAAGGCCUUCGGGUUGUAAACUGCUUUUGUACGGAGCGAAAAGGUCUCCUCUAAUACAGGGGGCUCAUGACGGUACCGUAAGAAUAAGCACCGGCUAACUACGUGCCAGCAGCCGCGGUAA
rnacentral:rRNA from 1 species